rnacentral:miRNA from 1 species
UAGGUUCUGUGAUACACUCCGACU